rnacentral:snRNA from 1 species
AGCUUUGGGCAGUGGCACUAUCAUAGCCAAUGAAGCUUAUCCGAGGUGUGAUUAUUGCUAAUUGAAAAAAAUAUAUAUAUAUGCAUAUAUAAAUACGUAUAUAUAAAAUUCAUUUACUAACAGGGA